GACGAACCGUGCGAACGUUAUUCGGAAUCACUGGGCUUAAAGCGCGUGUAGGCGGGACGGCACGUCGGUCGCUGAAAUCCCCCGGCUCAACCGGGGAACGGGCGCCGAUACGACCGCCCUGGAGGGGCGUAGGGGGACCUGGAACUUCCGGUGGAGCGGUGAAAUGCGUUGAGAUCGGGAGGAACACCAGAGGCGAAGGCGGCGAACUGGACAGCAACUGACACUCAACUGCGAAAGCGUGGGGAGCAAACAGG
rnacentral:rRNA from 1 species